rnacentral:rRNA from 1 species
UACGUAGGGGGCAAGCGUUGUCCGGAAUUAUUGGGCGUAAAGAGCUUGUAGGCGGUUUGGCGCGUCUGCUGUGAAAUUUCGGGGCUCAACCCCGAACUUGCAGUGGGUACGGGCAGACUAGAGUGUGGUAGGGGAGACUGGAAUUCCUGGUGUAGCGGUGAAAUGCGCAGAUAUCAGGAGGAACACCGAUGGCGAAGGCAGGUCUCUGGGCCACUACUGACGCUGAGAAGCGAAAGCAUGGGGAGCGAACAGG